rnacentral:rRNA from 1 species
GAUGGACGCUGGCGGCGUGCCUAAUACAUGCAAGUCGAGCGAACGGACGAGAAGCUUGCUUCUCUGAUGUUAGCGGCGGACGGGUGAGUAACACGUGGAUAACCUACCUAUAAGACUGGGAUAACUUCGGGAAACCGGAGCUAAUACCGGAUAAUAUUUUGAACCGCAUGGUUCAAAAGUGAAAGACGGUCUUGCUGUCACUUAUAGAUGGAUCCGCGCUGCAUUAGCUAGUUGGUAAGGUAACGGCUUACCAAGGCAACGAUGCAUAGCCGACCUGAGAGGGUGAUCGGCCACACUGGAACUGAGACACGGUCCAGACGCCUACGGGAGGCAGCAGUAGGGAAUCUUCCGCAAUGGGCGAAAGCCUGACGGAGCAACGCCGCGUGAGUGAUGAAGGUCUUCGGAUCGUAAAACUCUGUUAUUAGGGAAGAACAUAUGUGUAAGUAACUGUGCACAGCUUGACGGUACCUAAUCAGAAAGCCACGGCUAACUACGUG